UCUCCUAUAGCUCAGUUGGUAGAGCGUGCGGCUGCUAACCUCAAGGUCGCUGGUUCAAACCCAGCUGGGAGAG
rnacentral:tRNA from 1 species